UGAAUACGAGACGCUAAGGCGUCGAAGUAGUGUAUGUCAUACUUCCAAGAAAAGCUUGCACUGUCAUAAGUAAAAAAUGCCUGUACCAUAACCGACACAGGUGGGUAGGUAGAGUAUACUAAGGGGCGCGAGAUAACUCUCUCUAAGGAACUCGGCAAAAUAACUCCGUAACUUCGGGAGAAGGAGUACCUUAUUCUAUAAGGUUGCAAUAACAAGAUCCAAGCAACUGUUUAUCAAAAACACAGGUCUCCGCUAAGUCGUAAGACGAUGUAUGGGGGCUGACGCCUGCCCAGUGCCAGAAGGUUAAAGAAGUCGGUUAGCAUUAGCGAAGCUGGUAACUGAAGCCCUGGUGAACGGCGGCCGUAACUAUAACGGUCCUAAGUAGCGAAAUUCCUUGUCGGGUAAGUUCCGACCCGCACGAAAGGCGUAAUGAUUUGGAUACUGUCUCGGAGAGGGGCUCGGUGAAAUAGACUUGUCUGUGAAGAUGCGGACUACCUGCACCAGGACAGAAAGACCCUAUGAAGCUUUACUGUAACUUGAAAUUGAAAUUGGACUUUAUUCGCGCUGUAUAGGUGGGAGGUGUUGAUUAUAAUCUUGCGGGAUUAUUGGAGCCAUCAGUGAGAUACCACUCUUGUAAUGUUAGAUUUCUAACUUUGAAUCAUUAUCUGGUCAAAGGACAGUUUCAGGCGGGCAGUUUGACUGGGGCGGUCGCCUCCCAAACGGUAACGGAGGCGUACAAAGGUUUCCUCUGAACGGGUAGAAAUCGUAUCUAGAGUGUAAAGGCAUAAGGAAGCUUGACUGUGAGACCUACAAGUCGAACAGGGACGAAAGUCGGUCUUAGUGAUCUGACGGUACUGAGUGGAAAGGCCGUCACUCAACGGAUAAAAGUUACUCUAAGGAUAACAGGCUGAUCUCCCCCAAGAGUUCACAUCGACGGGGAGGUUUGGCACCUCGAUGUCGGCUCAUCGCAUCCUGGGGCGGUAGUACGUCCCAAGGGUUGGGCUGUUCGCCCAUGAAAGCGGUACGCGAGCUGGGUUCAGAACGUCGUGAGACAGUUCGGUCCAUAUCCGGUGUAGGCGUUAGAAUAUUGAGAGGAGCCUUCUUUAGUACGAGAGGACCGAGAAGGACAUACCUCUGGUGUACCAGUUAUCGUGCCAACGGUAAACGCUGGGUAGCUAUGUAUGGAGUGGAUAACCGCUGAAAGCAUCUAAGUGGGAAGCCCACCUCAAGGUAAG
rnacentral:rRNA from 1 species